AGAAACAGACAGGAGCAACGUCUCAAGUCCUUGGGGCUGUUUACGGAAGUGCGCGCCAUGGGAAAGGCGUGACCUGGCGACUGUCGUCAUUGGGAGUCCCUCCUCGCUGUUGCCGGCCCACCUGCAGCUGAUUACCUGAUCAGCUGUUGGUAAUCAUCCCCCUGGCUAGACAGAGGUAUUUAACAUGGACUCGCGGCGACAGUCGACGUGGGAUUAUUACUCCUCACUGGAGAGUCAAGCAGAGAAGCGAGUUGGGGAGCACACACACUAACGGAGUUGCAGUACAGAACGCACUGGGAGCAAGGGAC